rnacentral:pre_miRNA from 1 species
CAUGUACUCCCUCCGUUCCGAAUUACUUGUCGCACAUAUGGAUGUAUCUAGAUGUAUUUUAGUUCUAGAUACAUCCAUUUCAGCGACGAGUAAUUUGGAACGGAGGGAGUAUAUC